CCUACGGGAGGCAGCAGUGGGGAAUUUUGGACAAUGGGCGAAAGCCUGAUCCAGCCAUGCCGCGUGCAGGAUGAAGGCCUUCGGGUUGUAAACUGCUUUUGUACGGAACGAAAAAGUCUCCUCUAAUACAGGGGGCUCAUGACGGUACCGUAAGAAUAAGCACCGGCUAACUACGUGCCAGCAGCCGCGGUAAUACGUAGGGUGCAAGCGUUAAUCGGAAUUACUGGGCGUAAAGCGUGCGCAGGCGGUGAUGCAAGACAGAUGUGAAAUCCCCGGGCUCAACCUGGGAACUGCAUUUGUGACUGCAUCGCUAGAGUACGGUAGAGGGGGGAUGGAAUUCCGCGUGUAGCAGUGAAAUGCGUAGAUAUGCGGAGGAACACCGAUGGCGAAGGCAAUCCCCUGGACCUGUACUGACGCUCAUGCACGAAAGCGUGGGGAGCAAACAGGAUUAGAUACCCUGGUAGUCCACGACCUAACGACUGUCACUGUUGUUGGUUCGUUCUACUGACUCUAGUACGAGACGUACG
rnacentral:rRNA from 1 species